UGAUAAAACAGAGAAAAAAAAAAACAUGUAGAAACUAGCGAGAGAAGAAGAAAUACAAUAUACGUACUUUGCCUUUCGUCUUUGACGUUAGACGGAACAUAGAUAAUUUGUCUUUUUGAUUGGACGGCGAAGGGGAAGAUUCCUUUUUAAAGAAGAAAUCUGAGACAGCUUGAAUGAUAC
rnacentral:lncRNA from 1 species